CGCGGGGUCCCGGGAGCCCCCCUGGCGCACCCCCGGGCGGGUACUUACAGUUCCCAUCUGCAGAGGGGGCAACUUUCACCGACCCCGCGGUGGCCGCCGCCCCCUCCAGCCUGUUCGGGCGCCCGGCACCCUCCGGCCUGGGUUCGCGCUGGCCUGCGCGCCCCUCCCCCGCUCUGGGCUCCGCUCAGUCUUCACCACAUUGCCCCCAGCUCAGCGGCGAGCGCCCGGGGAGCUGCCGGAGGGAGCGGGGCGCGAGGCUGAGCACGCAUCGCAGGGCUUCUUCUUGCAGCGCACACUGUACAUGGUAGUGUGGGGGCGAGAGAAGGUGGCACUGGCCCCUGGGCUCCUCCAGCGGCGGCGGCGGAGGCUGCGACUCCUACGCGGUCCUCCGCCUCCCGCGCGGCGACCACCGCGCUGGGCUCCCGCCGCCGCUGUCCCCAGCCUAGCCCGCCGCCACCGCGGCCCCUAAUUAGUAUUUGCACGGUUCCCGCAUCCUCUUGGCCGUUUCGUCGCUCUCGGCGUCUGCAGGGUUUGUUCCUCUCUCCCUUCCCCAGAUGCGGCGCUCGAUCGUCAUUAUUCGGAGCUCUGUAUCUCCGACCUCCUUCGGGGGUCUGAGGGGCUGGAGUAGCGCUGCUCUACGCCUGUGGCGCGUCCUGGCAGCCCGGAGGCUCAAAAAAACUCAGAGAAAGUCGCGUCUUCUCUCCUGGGCGAUGAGGAGGUGGCAGCACGAAAAGCAUCGUCCGGGUCUCUGAGACCUCUGCUCCGUGGCCGGCGCUGGGCCAGUCCGGUGCACUUGUUUAUUGUCGCGCUGCUGGUGCGAGCCACGCUGCCGCAGACAUGAUGGGCCCGGGGCGAAGCAGGCACGCGGCGGCCGAUAGGUGGCAGCCAAGAGCGCGAGCCGCGCUGGGCUCCAGAGGCUCAGCCGGAGCCCCCCUCGAAUGUCACAUCCUUGGGAGACAGAGGAGUCUGGGACCAUGUGCGUAACGCGAGCGUGGGAGUGUGCAGUUCUCGUAUUGGAGAAGGGAGGAGUGGAGAUAACCCCGACAGUGCUAGGCUUGGUGGUGGGGGUCAGGGGCAGAUGAUUCCAGCCCAGUGCUGCCCGCUUGCUGCUUGCUCCCUCUUCCAUUUAGAGUGGGAGAGCCCUUGCUGCCGUCUCCCACAACACUGUAGAGGACCCUGGAAGAGGGAGUGGUUCGUUCUAGCUGUAAAGAGGGAGCUACUUUUAUUUUUAAGAGUUACGUUUUUAUAACUAUGUUUGGGCAGUUCAAGGGAAUGUGAACGACUUUCAGAAAAAAAAUGGUUUGUGAAUGCACUGGGAAUGAACUAGAAGCUGGAAAAGCCCUAAAUAGAGGCAGUCUCAAUAGAAAGCGAGUUUCUUCAAGAGUCACCUGCUAAACUUCACUAGCUUCGUCUCUACAGUGAAGAACUUAGCUACAGAGAGGGAGAGAGAGAGAGAGCGAGAGAGAGAGGAAAUAAAAAUGCAUCCUGUGUGCGGAGCUGUCGCACUAAUAGUUAUCUCCAAGGAGCUUCACUAUUUGUGGAUUGAAACUCACAUGAACAUUCUGAUUUUGCUAUACCUGCUCAUUAUUUGAAGAACAACUCUUAUUGUAUUUAAGAAUGUUCUGUGCUGUCUGGGCCUGUCUUGCAAUUGAUCCUGGAUUUGAAGCUGACAACUGUGAACUAGUAGGAGAAUGCUGCCACAGGAGCUGCCAUGCCUGAAGAAAAUUCAAAAAAAGAAACUGGCACUAGGGUCCUUCACUGAGAAGUCUGCCUUCUUGACUGUCACCAUGCCAUGGGAGAGGUAGAGGAAGGAUCAGAACUCCUGGGAUGGCUGACAUAACUUCCUUGUUCAAGAUCUACAGGACCGAAAGCAAGGUUGCAAAUGUUUCAUAUUACUUUGUUUCAUUGAAAAACACUGAACUGAUUGAAGACAUCAGAAAAUGGAAAGACAUCCCCUGCUUCUGGGUAGUGAGGAUCAAUAUAGUGAAAACGGCCAUAUUUCCAAAACUGCUAUAUAGAUUCAAUGCAAUCUCAAUUUAAAUCCCAGCAGCAUACUUCAUGGACCUUGAGAAAAUAAUCCAAAAAUUCAUUUGGAACAAGAAGAGACCCUAAAUAGCAAAAGAAAUUCUAGGUAACAAAGACAUGGCAGGGGGUAUUUCAACCCCCAAUUUGAAACUAUACUACAAAGCUACUGUGAUUAAAAAUAGCAUGGUACUGGUAAAGAAACAGACCUGAAGACCAGGGUAACAGAUUAGAAGAUGCAGAAACACCUCUAGACAUACUCAGCCACCUCAUCUUUGA
rnacentral:lncRNA from 1 species